rnacentral:rRNA from 1 species
UACGUAGGGUGCGAGCGUUGUCCGGAAUUAUUGGGCGUAAAGAGCUCGUAGGCGGUUCGCUAAGUCGGGUGUGAAACCUCCAGGCUCAACCUGGAGACGCCACCUGAUACUGGUGUGACUCGAGUCCGGUAGGGGAGCGUGGAAUUCCUGGUGUAGCGGUGAAAUGCGCAGAUAUCAGGAGGAACACCAGCGGCGAAGGCGGCGCUCUGGGCCGGAACUGACGCUGAGGAGCGAAAGCGUGGGUAGCAAACAGG